UACGGAGGGUGCGAGCGUUGUCCGGAAUUACUGGGCGUAAAGCGCACGUAGGCGGAUAUUUAAGUCAGGGGUGAAAUCCCAGAGCUCAACUCUGGAACUGCCUUUGAUACUGGGUAUCUUGAGUAUGGAAGAGGUAAGUGGAAUUGCGAGUGUAGAGGUGAAAUUCGUAGAUAUUCGCAGGAACACCAGUGGCGAAGGCGGCUUACUGGUCCAUAACUGACGCUGAGGUGCGAAAAGCGUGGGGAGCGAACAGG
rnacentral:rRNA from 1 species